rnacentral:misc_RNA from 1 species
UCUGAAGCAUCGAAAAUUGUGUAAUUUUGUAGCCAUUGAUGAGUCGAGGAGUGUGAAAUUUUGUAUAAGAAAUGGGGAACAGAGGCCAUACUCAGUACAGAACGACAAGGAGGACAUCCAAUUUCUCAAUUACUCUCUACAUUUUCCUCUUUUUUGUUUUGUCAAUGUUCGUAUUCUUUUAUUACACUAAGGAUAUCGUAG